rnacentral:lncRNA from 1 species
GAAAAGAGGGCUAGGCACUUCCAGAGAUGAGUAGCUCAUCUUUGAAAUCUCUGCUUCUCUCCUCCGUUCAGGCAAAGGGGCUCUGAAGAGUCAGCAGGCUUUAGGUUGAUCUUCAGUCUCGAUGUCCUGGUUUUUCUCUGGGAACACCAGGAUGUGUAAGAUGGUCCAGACAGAAGCUGGAUACGGUCCCAGAAGAGAGAGCCUAGUGCCGAGUCUGUGCAUCUCAGCAAACUAAAGGCUCUUGUCCUCAUCCCCUUGCCUACAGGGAUCUGUGCUCUGCAUAUCUCAAAGCAUUUUGAAGCCACCUAGGAAAGGCUAUGUGGGAAGCAAGUGAAUUUCCUGGAGACAGCCCACCAUUUUACAUGGAUGUGAUGGGUACAGUCUGGAGAGGCCCAGCCCCAGAAACGUUGUCCCAGGAUGGCUUCUUCUGAUAGACCUUUCUUCCUGGGCAUCAGCCCACCCUAUUGAGCAAAUUCGACCCUGCAGAUCAGCAUGAAGAUGAACUUUCAUGAAUUAAUGCUCCUUAGAUGAAUUGAUUACUUUCUGAUUUGAGUCUAAUGACUUUAGGAAGAAUGUUUAAGGGGAUAGUUUUAGUUGUUUUGCCAGAAGAUGUAAUAAAGGUAGAAGCA